UGCUGUCUGCAGGGCUGCCAAUGGCCUGCCCAAAACAACCCGCUCAGAUUUACUGUAAGGGCAGCCAGGCCGUCCAUAGCUUGUGGGGAACAUAGCAGCCCUGCCUGCAGAAAGGGCUGCGGAAGCCAAGCUGGCCCCUUGCCCAGCAGGCUGGAGGAGGGGAGGGGGGGCUCUGCGGCCCUGCCCGGCCCAGCACCCUCAGCCCUCAUCCACUGCAGGCCCCGAGCCUUGCUCGGGAGCACAUGAGGAAGAAAAGAGGGAAGAUGGAGACAGUGAGGCUUUCUCUACCUCUGGCUGGAGAAUGUGGAAUGAGCAGCAGCGGCUGCAGGAUCUCAUGGCCACCACCCUGGCAAGGCGAUGGGCAGAGUGGGCACAUGCCAAGGGGAGGCUGACUGGGGGCUUCCACUCCCUUCUACAGCAAGAUUAUAUCCAGAUCUCCACUCUCUGAAACAAGCUGCACACAAGCCCCCAGAAUGGGGGAGCAGAACCUGUUUGCAACACAAAUCCAGGGACCAGAGAGCAAUGACACAGACAUGAAGCCAGAAAACAGCUGCAAACCUUCAGAGGUACUGCAAAGAAAUGCCUCCAAAUCAGUGUCACUGAGAAAGCAGAGAAGGAAAUGCAACAGGAAGCCAGCACAGCCUGGGCACUGCCACAGGGACAUCAGCACCUUCUCAUCACUGCACCAGCCACUGAAACUGCCCCAUGACUUGCUGCUGUCACUGCUCUGAAUGUCACACCCGCUGCCCCCCCUCUGCCACCAGCCAGACAU